AGAACACUGAAAGUUUAUUCUCAGCAAAUUUCAAGUAGAGAUCCUCCUUGACUUACAAUGAGGUUAAGUCUUGAUGGAGUUCGUGUCUCUGGUGGGUGCUGGGGCAACUGGAAAGGUGAUUGCAUUCCAGAUGUUCAACAGGAAGCAGAACGAAAGUCUUCUGCCCGUGGAGGUCCCAGCUUAUGUUAUCUUUGUGUCUUUGGAAACAAGGCCAUCCUUAAGGACACUGUGAUGCUCUUCAACUUCUGACUCCUGACCAACAGAUUUAUCUAUAGUCACACCUUACUUUGGUUUCUUUCCAGACUUCUCUGUCAAGUGGUACUGUGAGCAUAUCCUUAAACAUUUCCUCUCUGCUCCAAACCUAAAAGACCUAGCAAUGAGGAACAAAAACCCAAACAAUAACUCAACAUUUUCAUGUGCCAGAAAUGGAAACACUCGGCAGUAAGCCGGGACUGCAGCAUAGGCCUGCUGGGCUCUAGGUUCAGAAAUAGACAGAGUUAGGAGAGUGACUUCUGCAUCAGAAAGAAAACCAAAGUGACUGACAUGCGGUGGGGCACCAGGGCCAGCAUCCCCAUGUAAGGGCCAAGGCCAGGUGGGCCCACCCUGACCAUGAAAGGAGGUGGAAGCAGCUCUGAUCACUGCUUGGAGCUGUGGCUUUGUAAAACUGAGUCCCUGCAGGGGGGGCAGGAGGAAGUAGAGCAAGCCCAGCGGCAGGACUUGUUUGGCUCUGUAGCUAGAUCUAAAAUAGCCCCAUCACUCUGCACUUGGAACUGUCCUUCAGUCUAAGACCUGGUUCUGGACUUGAGUGGUGGGUCUCCCUGGGGGCCAAGUGGAGGCAACCACAUAGUUUGUACAGAGAGGUAUUGUCACAGAGAGAAAAUAAGAUAAUACAAAACAGCAAUAAUCCUGUUCCAUCUAAGAUUAGCCUACCAACCCAUAAUACAAAUUCAGCAUUAUGAAAACUACCACUAAAAAAGAGAGCAAAAUAGUCAGAUGGUUCACUUCUAGUGAAAUGCAAAAUAAUAGAAACAUAUUGAAUGAUUAAAAGAAAUAGGUGUCUGAUCGUUAAAAAAAAAGAAUAAGAAAUUAUAGGACUUCCCUGGUGGCACAACGGAUAAGAAUCCAUCUGCC